GGUUUCAUGGGUGCCCUGAUCCUGUUCCACAUUAAAUCUAUCAGAAUUUGCAAUUCAAUCUUUUCUCUUAAUUUUCACUUUUAAAAAUUCUGACAAGUCCCGGGUGUGUAGCCAAGGACUGCACAGGAAGCUUAGGGAGACAGAGGAAGUGUGCCUCGUGGCCACAGGCGACUGAAAGAAGGCGAGGGCGAUGCCAAACUAGAAGGUGUUGACAUUCUGCAGUGGAAAGGACCCAGGAGUGACCAAGACUAUUGUGGUUUCAGCACUGAAAGUACCUGCAUUCUCGGAAGUCCCUCAGUCCUCCGAAACCAGGACAGUUAGUCGCCCCCUCCUGUUUAACACCAGAAUAGAUGCUGAUUAUGCCUAUUUUAAAGAUAAGGAAACAGAGGCUCAGGGAGUUGGAAUAAUUGGCUAAGUGCACACACCUAAUGAGUGAUUAUGGUGAGUUCAAGUCCCAUGGGCUCCAAACCCAUGUUAUCCGUGGGUGCUCUAAACUAGGCAAGAUCCCUACCAGACCAAAAUUUCCAGCAUGUUCUGGUGAAUUUAUUCAGAAGAGCGUGGCAGCUAGAGAACCCCAAGGAGAGGGAGCUUGUCUCUGUGACCAGUGGGGCCGUGGGGAUUCUUCCUUGGCACUGUGGAUGGAGCAGAAGAGAACAGACCUGGCCGUGUGUGUGGGAGCUUGCAGGCUGGUGGGGGAUGCAUAUAUAACACAGAGGUGGGAAAGGGCAAGUGCCCUAAAGAAGAUGUAACCUGCCACCACUGAGUAAAAGAAUCAGUGGUGGGAGGGGCGCUUUCCCAAUAAAGUUGUUGGAGGGACCUCUGUGCAGAGAUGACACGUGAGCAAAACAACGGAAUCGGGUGAGAAUGAUUUUGUGUGAGUACAGUGUUCCAG
ensembl:lncRNA